rnacentral:pre_miRNA from 1 species
AAUAUACUCCCUCCGUCCGGAAAUGCUUGUCGGUCUGGAUGUAUCUAGACGUAUUUUAGUUCUAAAUGACGUUUUCGCAAAUUUAUUCAUUUCUUGGACAAGUAUUUUUGGACGGAGGGAGUAUCUU